GGAGGAGGCAAGCGUUGUUCGGAAUCACUGGGCUUAAAGCGGGUGUAGGCGGGAUAGCAGGUGUCCUGUGAAAGCCCUCGGCUCAACCGAGGAAUUGCAGGGCAAACCGUUACUCUUGAGGCAGGUAGGGGCAAGUGGAACCAUGGGUGGAGCGGUGAAAUGCGUAGAUAUCCAUGGGAACGCCGGUGGCGAAAGCGGCUUGCUGGGCCUGACCUGACGCUGAGACCCGAAAGCGUGGGUAGCAAACAGGGAUUAGAUACCCUGGUAGUCCACGCCGUAAACGAUGCGCACUAGGUACGAGGGCUCUGACUGCUUUCGUGCCGAAGCAAAAGUGAUAAGUGCGCCGCCUGGGAGUACGGCCGCAAGGCUA
rnacentral:rRNA from 1 species